GUCCAGUGGGUAGACUGUUACUUCAUUAUGUGUAAUGUCAGGAUACCAUGAAGAUAUUCUGAACCUUGUUUGUUGGUAGACCAACUAGCAGAGGAGAUAGACUCAAUCAAGAUGCCCUAGAUCUGGGUCACCAAUGAAUGUCAAUUGCUCAGGUGGCCCUGGCUUGGGUGGCAGAGAGGUGGCUGGUGGCAGGGUGCUGGGUGUCUUGGUGUCUUCGCAUCUUGGCACUUUGUUGCGCUUGCAGCUCUUGUCUGGGCUUGGUGUGAGCAUGUUAGCCCACCAAACACAUAUUCCGAUGGUUCCAGAACAUGGAGGGCCUUAG
rnacentral:lncRNA from 1 species